CCUACGUGAGGCAGCAGUAGGGAAUUUUCGUCAAUGGGCGCAAGCCUGAACGAGCGAUGCCGCGUGAGUGAAGAAGGCCUUCGGGUCGUAAAGCUCUGUUGCGGGGGAAAAAAGGCAGCAUCAGGAAAUGGGUGCUGACUGAUGGUGCCCCGCCAGAAAGUCACGGCUAACUACGUGCCAGCAGCCGCGGUAAUACGUAGGUGGCGAGCGUUAUCCGGAAUGAUUGGGCGUAAAGGGUGCGCAGGCGGUCCUGCACGUCUGGAGUGAAACGCAUGGGCUGAACUCCUGCAUGGCGUUGGAAGCUGGAGGACGGGAGAGCAGGAGAGGGCGGUGGGAGUCGAGGUGUAGCGGUAAAAUGCGUAGAUAGAUGGAAGAGCACCAGUGGCGAAGGCGGGCGCCUGGCCUGUUGCUGACGCUGAGGCACGAAAGCGUGGGGAGAAAAUAGGAUUAGAUACCCUUGUAGUC
rnacentral:rRNA from 1 species